CUUAGCCCAAGUGGCUAGAGUCCCUCCCUCACAUUUGUGAGGGAAGGGGUUCGAGCCUCCGCAGUCGCAUUGUAGGGGUUUAAUUUAAAUAUUCUUCAUUGGAGCCAUUGAGCUCCAGUGAAGACAUUCUUUCUCACAGGAUGGGAGUUUGACAUCUCUCGAAUAUUUGAGAGGGUUAAAAAUCUGAGCGGUGUCAUAUCAGCAUUAAUAUUAACAAGGCUCAGUAUAAAUAUAUGAUUGUACAUAUCAAUUAUACUCUCAUGUAAUAUGAACUGUAAUUUGAGCAAUAGUCUCAUGUAAUCAAAAAAAAAAAAAAAAAAAAAA
rnacentral:lncRNA from 1 species